CGGUUGUGAAUUGUGUCAAUUCU
rnacentral:miRNA from 15 species